ACGAGGGCCGGAGCGAAGCGACGUCAAAGCGUUCAUUAAAGUCGAGUUGGCUUAGGGAUACGUUCGUUGGGUAGGGGAGCGUUCUGUAAGCCUGUGAAGGUGUGUCGUGAGGCAUGCUGGAGGUAUCAGAAGUGCGAAUGCUGACAUAAGUAACGAUAAAGCGGGUGAAAAGCCCGCUCGCCGGAAGACCAAGGGUUCCUGUCCAACGUUAAUCGGGGCAGGGUGAGUCGACCCCUAAGGCGAGGCCGAAAGGCGUAGUCGAUGGGAAACGGGUUAAUAUUCCCGUACUUGGUGUUACUGCGAAGGGGGGACGGAGAAGGCUAUGUUGGCCGGGCGACGGUUGUCCCGGUUUAAGCGUGUAGGUGUGUGUUCCAGGUAAAUCCGGUUCACUUUAACACUGAGGCGUGACGACGAGGCACUACGGUGCUGAAGCAACAAAUGCCCUGCUUCCAGGAAAAGCCUCUAAGCAUCAGGUAACAUCAAAUCGUACCCCAAACCGACACAGGUGGUCAGGUAGAGAAUACCAAGGCGCUUGAGAGAACUCGGGUGAAGGAACUAGGCAAAAUGGUGCCGUAACUUCGGGAGAAGGCACGCUGACACGUAGGUGAAGUGAUUUACUCACGGAGCUGAAGUCAGUCGAAGAUACCAGCUGGCUGCAACUGUUUAUUAAAAACACAGCACUGUGCAAACACGAAAGUGGACGUAUACGGUGUGACGCCUGCCCGGUGCCGGAAGGUUAAUUGAUGGGGUCAGCGCAAGCGAAGCUCCUGAUCGAAGCCCCGGUAAACGGCGGCCGUAACUAUAACGGUCCUAAGGUAGCGAAAUUCCUUGUCGGGUAAGUUCCGACCUGCACGAAUGGCGUAAUGAUGGCCAGGCUGUCUCCACCCGAGACUCAGUGAAAUUGAACUCGCUGUGAAGAUGCAGUGUACCCGCGGCAAGACGGAAAGACCCCGUGAACCUUUACUAUAGCUUGACACUGAACAUUGAGCCUUGAUGUGUAGGAUAGGUGGGAGGCUUUGAAGUGUGGACGCCAGUCUGCAUGGAGCCGACCUUGAAAUACCACCCUUUAAUGUUUGAUGUUCUAACGUGGACCCGUAAUCCGGGUUGCGGACAGUGUCUGGUGGGUAGUUUGACUGGGGCGGUCUCCUCCUAAAGAGUAACGGAGGAGCACGAAGGUUGGCUAAUCCUGGUCGGACAUCAGGAGGUUAGUGCAAUGGCAUAAGCCAGCUUGACUGCGAGCGUGACGGCGCGAGCAGGUGCGAAAGCAGGUCAUAGUGAUCCGGUGGUUCUGAAUGGAAGGGCCAUCGCUCAACGGAUAAAAGGUACUCCGGGGAUAACAGGCUGAUACCGCCCAAGAGUUCAUAUCGACGGCGGUGUUUGGCACCUCGAUGUCGGCUCAUCACAUCCUGGGGCUGAAGUAGGUCCCAAGGGUAUGGCUGUUCGCCAUUUAAAGUGGUACGCGAGCUGGGUUUAGAACGUCGUGAGACAGUUCGGUCCCUAUCUGCCGUGGGCGCUGGAGAACUGAGGGGGGCUGCUCCUAGUACGAGAGGACCGGAGUGGACGCAUCACUGGUGUUCGGGUUGUCAUGCCAAUGGCACUGCCCGGUAGCUAAAUGCGGAAGAGAUAAGUGCUGAAAGCAUCUAAGCACGAAACUUGCCCCGAGAUGAGUUCUCCCUGAGACUUAGAGUCUCCUGAAGGAACGUUGAAGACGACGACGUUGAUAGGCCGGGUGUGUAAGCGCAGCGAUGCGUUGAGCUAACCGGUACUAAU
rnacentral:rRNA from 1 species